rnacentral:rRNA from 1 species
AUACGUAGGUGGCAAGCGUUAUCCGGAAUUAUUGGGCGUAAAGGGUGCGUAGGCGGUUGAUUAAGUUUUAGGUGAAAGCGUGGGGCUCAACUCCAUACAGCCUAAGAAACUGGUCAACUAGAGUGCAGAAGAGGGUAGUGGAAUUCCAUGUGUAGCGGUAAAAUGCGUAGAUAUAUGGAGGAACACCAGUGGCGAAGGCGGCUACCUGGUCUGUAACUGACUCUCAAGCACGAAAGCGUGGGGAGCAAAUAGGAUUAGAUGCCCUAGUAGUCCACGCCGUAAACGAUGGAUACUAAGUGUUGGGGAAACUCAGUGCUGCAGUUAACGCAAUAAGUAUCCCGCCUGGGGAGUAUGACUGGCU